UACGGAGGGUGCGAGCGUUGUCCGGAAUUAUUGGGCGUAAAGAGCUUGUAGGCGGUUUGUCGCGUCUGCUGUGAAAUUUCGGGGCUCAACCCCGAACUUGCAGUGGGUACGGGCAGGCUAGAGUGUGGUAGGGGAGACUGGAAUUCCUGGUGUAGCGGUGAAAUGCGCAGAUAUCAGGAGGAACACCGAUGGCGAAGGCAGGUCUCUGGGCCACUACUGACGCUGAGAAGCGAAAGCAUGGGGAGCGAACAGG
rnacentral:rRNA from 1 species